rnacentral:lncRNA from 1 species
UAAAAGGCCCCCUGUCCAAAAAUGGGCGAGUUUUCUCUCUCCAUUUCCGGGCAAGGUGAGUCUCUGCCACCCCCUUGAUGAUCUUGUAUAUUCUCCUCAAAUCCUUCAAGUUUUUGAUAAGUUUUUACCUUGUUUUGAAGAUUUUUAAGCUAAGACCAAAGUUUUGAAGCUUGGAGACCUCCAGAACUCGUUUCCUCCUCAUCUCCAAGUUGGAUCACGCCUACCUUCAAUCUUCAACAGGUAAGUGUAGAUCCAUACCUUUUUACAUGUUUUAAGUAAGUUUUAAAAGGGAUUAAGGGUAUAUGAUGCAUGUUUUAGAGUAGAACUAAAAUGUUAGGGUUUAUGUUAGUUUAAUGAUAAAUGUAUUUUAAAUGUGAUGUUUGUUGGGGUAUAGGCUAGUUUUAUGCCCCUAUAUGCUUGAAAAUGUGUUUAUGCAUGUUUUAGAAUAGGUGGAUGUGUGUUGGAAAGUUUGGAUGGUUGGAUGUGGGAUGGUAGAAUCGGGUUCUGCCACCCAGGAGGAUCCAGGUUCGGCCGUCGAAGCAAGGUUCGGCCGCCGAACCUGCUAGAGGAGGCAAUUUUGGCCGCCUAAACUCGCCCCCGAAAGUUGGACUUUCAGCUCUGGAGGGGAGUUUCGGCCGCCGAACCUGCCCCCGAAGGUUAGUGACUUUCGGGUCUGUGAAGGCUUUCGGCCGCCGAACCCUGCCCCCGAAAGUGCCUGACUUUCGGAUCUGUAGGGACCUUUGGCCGCCGAACCUGCCGCCGAAAGUCCCCAGACCAGCCUUCCUUUGUCUGUUUUCAAUGUAUAUUUUAUGAUGUUUUAGGGGAAUUUUUGGGGAGAUGUUUAGAGUCAUGAUUAGAGUAUAUUUGGUCCCUCAUUUGAGUCUACCUAUGUAGGAUCGGACCUGAGAGACCGAGGAGGUCAGCAGUGAGCUAGCUGCUACAGAGUCAGUAAAGCGUCAGCCAGAGGUGAGUAGAACUGAACUAUAUUUUAAAGUAACUAAAUUUUUUAAAGCAUGUUCAUGCAUUACGAUUGCCAUAUUUAUAGGUUGUUGCAUUAGAAUUCACGAAUAUGACGCAUUGCAUUAUUUAUUGUUGAUGUGGAUGGAUGAUGAUCCAUUAGUCCUCGAUAUGAUAUGAUAGGAUAUGAGAUGGAAAGACCAGGUGUGGCCUGAACUAUGCCCCUGGCAAUAUGUAAGAAAAGACCAGGUGUGGCCUGAACUACGGCCCUGGUAAUAUGUAAGAGAAGACCAGGUGUGGCCUGCACUACGCCCCUGGCACAGUUGGACAUAUUAUGAUAUGUUAUAUGUAAGAGAAGACCAGGUGUGGCCUGCACUACGCCCCUAACACAGUUGGACAUGUUAUGUUAUGUUAAGCAAAAGUCCUGAGGAGUCCCGUUGUGGGCCGGGCAUUGGAUAUGUAGAGGGUUAUUGGUGACAAGUCCAUACGUGAUGUGAAUUAUUUGUGAUGUGAUGCAUUUCAUGAAAACAUAUGUUUAUUAACUGUUUUUACUGUUCUGCUCACUGAGCUUUAGUAGCUCACCCCUUUCCCCUAACCCCCAGGUUUGCAGGGUCAGAGAUAGCAGGAAGUCAGCAAGGGUAAUGGCUAUGUCAUGUAAUAGAGUUUUAGUGGACAUGUAAUGUAAAGAAAUGUAAUGAGGAUAAUUAUUGUGCUUGGCCCUAAUGUUUAUUGUAAAUUCCUGUUGUACAUGAUCUUUAUGUAAAUGUUUUAAUGAUGAGAUAUGUUGAACCAGACUUGACAUAUGAGAUAUUGACCCUACUAGAGCAUUUGAUGAGGGUUCUAGUAAGGGGUUUUUAUGUUUACAGUUAUGAUGUAUGGUAUAGGUCAAGCUUGGUAGAUGAUCAAACAUAAUUUAGCCACAUUUUUACUAUCUUUAUUACUGUUUAUUUACACAUUUUUCAGCUUAAUCUAUGGUUUUUAUUAUGUUUUUACAGGAAAGGAAGAAAAUGAAGAGUUGGAGAAAAAGUGCAGGAAAAGCUAAAAAAGUAAUUGGGUCAAAGUAAUUUGGCCAAAUCACCCGCAGAGAUCAGAAGCAGAAAGCUAAGGCAGAAAUCUGGAGGCAACAUACAGAAACGAUUUGGGCAAGCGAUUUGCCCAAAUCACCCGCCCAAAUCACACUGACGCCAGAAAAUACAGCAGAAGCGGGAAAAGUGCAGAAAACUGAAAUUCAAAAGUGGAGAAGUCCAAAUCCAUUUUAAACACUGCAAGAUCAGUCCCAAGAGCCACGAAAAAGUCUUUCACUUAAAGAAUUCCAUUCACAAUUAAAUACAAAAAACAANNNNN